rnacentral:rRNA from 1 species
GAUGAACGCUAGCGGCGUGCCUAACACAUGCAAGUCGAGCGGUAAGUGUUCUUGCUAACAGCUCGAACGUUACACGGGGGCGGAACAGUUACGCAAGCUUCCUCUAUCUGUGAGACAGGGUUUACAAAGGAAGAUUAAUGCUCAUAAAGAUAAAUAUUGUCAUCAGUUGAGAUUAAUAAUUACGGUGGGUAUUGCUGUCCACUCUAGAUGGUUCCGCGCUGCUUUAGCAAGUGGGUAAGGUAACGGCUAACCAAGGCGACGAUGCGUCGGUGACCUGAGAGGGGGAUCGGCCACACGGGAACUGAGACACGGUCCAGACUCCUCCGGGAGGCAGCAGUAGGGAAUCUUCCGCAAUGGGCGGAAGCCUGACGGAGCAACGCCGCGUGGGUGAUGAAGGUCUUCGGAUCUUAAAACUCUGUUAUUAGGGAAGAACAAAUGUGUAAGUAACGAUGCACGUCGUGACGGUACCUAAUCAGAAAGCCACGGCUAACUACGUG